UUCAAUUCUUUGACUUAAUAAUAAUCACAGAUUCAUUGCAAGACUCAUUUUGGAGGCUAAUGAUUUUGGCCUUGCUUGCUCAAUGUUAAAGAUAUUGGCUGUUUUGUCAGGGGUUAUCCAAGUCUUGGCUUAUGGACCUAUGUUGCAGCCUAAUUGUCAUGACCUUCAAAGUGUUUGAGAUUGCGGCAGCAAGAGCUUAAAAAUAUUGACUCAGUUAGUGAUUGUUAAAAUAAAUUGUUACUGUGAUUUUUCUAUUUUGUCUUUUUCCUGCAGGAGGGAUGGAGAAUUUUUCCGAUUAAAUGAUUUUGUGUUAUGUUUAUCUGCCAACAUUCUGUAUAAUUGAGGGUGCACUUUCUUCGGGAUUUUGUAUUUUCUUCUUUUUGAUUUCCAUUAUCAUACAACAUCCCAUACGCCACGAACCAAAAUUUGUAGUAUUUUUCACUCCUUAUGCACUCUAGGGAAAGCUGAAACUGACAUCUAUGUCACUAUUUCUCUUCACAUUCUUUUUUAUAAUUCCUAGAAAUUAAUUAGAAGGGUUUUACUUUUAUCAAAAACUUUUGAUAACUUAUAAAGACUAUUUUAGGUUCUGAAAAAACUAGCACUUUUAGUACUUACUCUGUCUUCUAGGCACACACAUAUAUGCUAUGUGUAUUUGUUCCCCUCACAAUAUGUUUGGUAAAUAAUGAUCGUUUAGUAAAUAAUUGAUCCUUUUUUCCCUCAAAAUACUCUUAAGAACCCUUGAGUUAAACUAUUUUUUGCCCCAAAUGAGUUCAUCCAAACAUGUGUUAGUUCCAAGAAUAAGUCUUGUCAUAUUUACAGUGUUUGAUAACUCCUUGUACAUUGAUGUAGUUGAGGCUACUUCAUGUUAACACAAAUAUAUUUUGAAAAUGUAAGUGCUUUUCUAUAAUAAUAUUGCAUACUUAUGAAUGUUCCAUAGUUUGUGUAUGCAUGAUCAUAGAGAUAAUAUCCCGUGAUUCAAUUGUCAGGUUUAUUAAAUUAAUAGUUGUAUCAUACAAAAAAGUAUUAAAUGACGUGUGUAUUUUGUAUUAUUACUACUACCUCUAUUCCUUUAUAUGAGAAACAAAUAACUGAUUUGAAUUCGAGGAAAAUAGUUAAGUUAGUUAAUUUUAUUAACAAUGCUACAAACUAAAAUAAUUUCCGAAACACCCAUAGAUGUAAAUAGUGUAAGUAUUAGUUAUAUUAUAUAUGUUGACAUACUCGUAAUUCAAAGGAUAGUUUUUCCCACCAACUACUGUGACUUAUAUAGUUAAUAGUCCAAUGCAUGCAUCCACCUUUAUGAGAAAUGAAUUAAUAUCUCAUCAAUAGAAUUCACAAUAAAUUAAGUAUAUAAAAGAAAGUUAUCAAUCAAUAUAUUUUAGAAUAGUUGUAUAUUUUCUGUAAUUAGGGCCAGAAAAGGACACCCCUUUGUUUCUUGUAUAAAGGACCUUAUGUAAUAUCACAUUUCAAUGCAUAAUAUGUUUUUUGACCUCUUUAACCCCUUUGUCAGUAUACAGAUGAAGAGAUUGAUCGCUGCUUUGAAGAAUUUUAUGAGGAUGUCCACACAGAAUUCUUGAAGUUUGGGGAAAUUGUGAACUUCAAGGUUCUUUUUUACUGCUGUGUGUGUAUAAGUUUAACUUCUGAAAUUUUGAAAAUAUAUUUCUCAUUUCAGUUUGGCAUUUAGUUCAUACUAACAUGUUAAUGCAAUUUUCAAUAUCUUGGAAUAAAAUUUUAUGGGUUCUCUGUAAUAUCACGAACGCUAAUCAAGUAUGAUUUAUAUCUAGUUACACAGAGACAUCAAAAUAAAUAAAAUGGAGCCAUUUUUAUAUCUAUUUGUCUUGUUUUGUCAUUGUUUUUGACCCCUCCUCAUAUGUGUGUGUGUUUAUAUCCAACAUUUUGAAAAAAAAUUCUGUGUUUUUUGAAAACAUAGUUAUCAAUAGAAUGAUAUAGUGGAAUAGUGUUGCAGAUACGCUCUUGGUCACUAUGAAACUUAAAUAUCAUCACAAUUUUAAAUAGUGGUUGUGAUAAAUGGUGAAAUUGGGGCAUGUUAUGAGUGGUGCUAAGGCAUUGCAAGAACCUUAAGUGAGCCUUGUAAAUGUCACCUAUGGCUUUUCAGGGGUGAUGGUAUUCACCUCUCUUUCAUUGAAUUGGAGAUUUUAACUUUAAAUGAAAGCCUAAUUUUCCCACUGACUUGAGCACAUUCAUUCUCACCAACACCCAUCUUUAUCUAGCAACAUUUUGCAGCUAUGCCCGACCUUUGUCAGUGUGGCCCUGUUCUGUAUUUUCUGCCCAUUCAUGUUCCCACUAUAACUACAAGGGUUAGCCAUCAGCCAUUUUUUGGCCAAGAAAACCCAAACCAAAAUAACCCAAGGACACAGUAUUUUUCUUGUCUUUGUUAGAAUGAGUAUUAAAUUUGGGUAGAAAGUAGUUGUGUUGGGAAUUACUAUCUAUUGUACCUAUGAGUUGUACCUAGGUUUCUAGUUCAGCCUUUUGAUCUUUCAUCUUCUCAUUGUAUCAGUUUUUUAUCAUUAUAAGUAUGAGAUCAUAAGUGGGGUCUUUGAAGCCCUCUAGAAUAUAUUUUCUCUCUUAUUAAUCUUAAGUUGGUAUUAGAGCUAGUAAAUCUCGCUCUUGGUCUGAGUCUUCUUCUAUGUCUAUUGCCACAAUUUUCUUCAGGAGCCAUUGGAACUAGAGUGUCUCCCUAAGCAAUGAACAACCUCAUCAGUCCCUGAGCCUAUCUCUACUCCAUGCGCCUCCACACAUGCACUUUCUCCUCGCUACUAUUGGGCAUGUGAGGUACAAGUGCCGCCUUCCUCUCACCAGAGCAACGUCGAGACUCCUAGUUCGGGCAUAACGGACCUCCCCAGUGUCGUUUUAGUCCUUGGUCGUCUUUUUUUUUUCUGAUGUGGUUAACGGGUUUGCUUAGUGGCUAAUUCUAUGUCCCUGUUAGUUUCCUCCAACUUUGACUGAAAUGUCUACUGGAACUACUAUUUCCUCUGGAAUUCCUUCCAUUACCCCUGGGAAACUAAAUGGGAAAAAGUAUGUGUUGUGGUUUGCCUUUGUUGAAAUGUGGUUCGUUGGCCAAGGUCACCAUGACUACCUUGAACCAGAUGGAAGUAAUGUGCCUUUUGAGCAAGUUGAACCGUGAAAGUGAAUUGAAUUCAGUUGUGUGUUACUGUGAUAGUCUGCAGAACCUUAAUUAUUGGGUACUCUUAGAUCUUUUAAAACUUGCAACUCUUUUUG